rnacentral:tRNA from 1 species
GCCGGUGUGGCGGAAUGGUAGACGCGCGCGAUUCAAAAUCGCGUUCCUUCGGGAGUGAGGGUUCGAGUCCCUCCGCCGGUA